UUUCAAUUCUCUGAGUAUUUUCUCUCUUUAUCCAAGCUGGCUGCACUUGUUUUGACUUCUCUCCAUGAUGUCACAGUUACAUAAGGUAUGUCAGUCAAAUGAAGUACAGCAGUUCACUGAAAGGUGUCAGGCUGAGUGGUGCCAUUCUUUGUGGGUUCUGUGGUCGCUGUGUGGAUUAUAAAUCUCUGCUUUUAUGUUCUGCCGUGGUGAGUGAAUAGGAUGCAGACUUCUGGAAGGCUGUACAGAGAAAGGCUCAUUACCUGGUGAGGGAAGAAGGAAGAUGCUGCACCAUGGGAGAUGAUUCUAAGUGUUACUUCAACUGCCGACUAACCGCUGGGAAGGACAGAAACAAUCCUCUUCCUUCUCACUGACUAUUCUAUUGUUUCUUGUGUAAAAAGCAGUCCCUUGAGUUAGAAUAAUUAUGUUGUAUCAGACAUUUUUCUUGCAAAACUUAGUCGUGUGUCCAAUUCUCUCUCCAACAAGCUUGC
rnacentral:lncRNA from 13 species